rnacentral:tRNA from 1 species
UGUUUUAUGGCUUACUUGAUUAAAGCGCCGGUCGACCGAAUACGAAGUCGUGGGUUCGAACCCCAUCAGGACAC